AAUAUUGGACAAUGGGCGAAAGCCUGAUCCAGCCAUGCCGCGUGUGUGAAGAAGGUCUUCGGAUUGUAACGCACUUUAAGUUGGGAGGAAGGGUUGUAGGUUAAUACCCUGCAAUUUUGACGUUACCAACAGAAUAAGCACCGGCUAACUUCGUGCCAGCAGCCGCGGUAAUACGAAGGGUGCAAGCGUUAAUCGGAAUUACUGGGCGUAAAGCGGGCGUAGGUGGUUCGUUAAGUUGGGAGUUGAAACCCCGGGCUUAACCUGGGGAAUGCUUUCAAAACUGGCAAGCUAGAGUAAGGCAGAGGGUGGUGGAAUUUCCUGUGUAGCGGUGGAAUGCGUAGAUAUAGGAAGGAACACCAGUGGCGAAGGCGACUACCUGGACUGAUACUGACACUGAGGUGCGAAAGCGUGGGGAGCAAACAGG
rnacentral:rRNA from 1 species